UGCAUUCUGGUCUUAUUCUAGAACAGUAACUACCUUUUUUUCAAACACAAAAACACACCAAACUCCCUCUAAACUUGCUCAAACGGAUCUCCAUUCAUUUUGCUUCUUCUAAGGCAAGAAAGUUAUCAAGAAUAUAAAGAACAUGGCUGACAAGCGCAUGCUGGGAAAGGAGACCGUGACUGGUAGCUUACGCAGAGAGAGAGAGGCAAGAAGUGAACCCUAUGCCUAAACGGGGACAUGGGCGUAGGAAUGAUGGGGAGAGGACCUCACAGACGGGUACGUCUCAGGACCAAUAUUAUGUGAUUUAAGAUCAGUACUAUGAUCCCACUAAGGAGCACUACCAAGACCCUACUCAGAAGGAGUAUUACUAGAUUGAGCAUCAUCAUGAGGAUCCUAAACAACAUGAUGCACCAACACCCUCACCGGCACCUAAUGCUAUUCUAAGGGGGAUUCCGAUUUGUCGGUUGCCUUCAUUCACUAAAUAUGUCUCUUACAAGAUUUUGAAUGACAUUGAUUUACACUCUUCAUAGUUACACUCAUACAUGGGAUAAAGAUUACUAGACUUACACACCCAGAAGUCCAUUUUGAAUGAUUUUGGAAUCCAUAUAUAGAAUUGGGUCUUUUACUACUUCUUUAUACUAGGUUUUCUAUCCUUAAUGGUUUCAUGCUUUCUGCUUUGUUAGAGAGGUGGCAUGAUGAGACCAACAACUUUCAUCUAUAUGUUGGGGAGAUGACCUCAACGCUGGAUCAUGUGGUGUGUCUUAUAAAUAUCCAUAUCAAAGAGAAUAUGAUGGAUCACGAGGAAAAGAUCUCCGAGGAGACAGGUGUCCUGCUGACAAAUCCUUUACUUGGUGUUGUCGAGCAUCGUGCAAUUGAUGAGUGUGAUCACCAGUUUGGGGAUUUUAUAAAUAUUCCACUCCUAAAGGGAAUAUAUGACGAGCACCUCAAUAUGGAAACUCAGUUGGAGAAUGUAGCUGAGAGGGAGGAAGAGAGAAAUAACCAGAGCCAAUGGUGUGUGGGGGCUUUCUUGCUCUUUCUGGUUGGAUGUACCAUAUUCACCGACAAGGUUAACAAGCAUAUUGACCUAGUAUGGCUUGAUGCGAUGUGAGAUCCGGAUAGGAUACAUGAGUGGUCAUGGGGUGGGAUGACCCUGGCUUAUACUUGACCUUACUUGAGGUAGUAAUUUAUUUCACUUUUAUCUUUGUUGUAUAUCUUAUAAUAAUAUGUUAAUGUACAUGUAUGUUUGAACUCUCAUGCAUGGGCUAUGGAGCAUUUCAAAAACUUAUUUGCAUGAUCGUCUAAUCCCCUUUAUACUCCAGACCUGACACGCGUUGCCCACUUUACUCCAAAGAAGAGGCAUGCUUUAUUGGGGACCUAUAGAGGCAUUCUUGAUCGCCUGACCGAGAACGAUGUCAAAAUGGAUCCCCUAUGAUGAUCAUUUGUAGGUGCAUCCCUUCAAGGAGAUAUAUUGCUACUCUAGUUGGCUUAUGACCGAUAGAGGGAAGAAGUACAGACACUUUCCAGAGCAGGUGAAGAGGCAGUACAGUCAUGUCCAGGACAUUCCCAGACAUCUGGACGUGCCUCCUCGUGGUGUACCUACCUAUCAGGAUUUCAUUGACUUCAUGUUGCACGUCAUACCUAAGACUUAGUGGUGUCUGAUUGUGGUGGAUCCAAGGUAGUAUGCACUAGGGUAUGUGUCUUGGUUCAGUGAGGUAUUUCACCUGCAGUUAUUGUCACCUAUCGAGGGGCUUAAGGCACCACCCCCUAGGCUGGCUAAUAAGGAGGUAAUCAUUGAGGAUCAUGUCAGAGAUAUACCUGACUCACUUAGUAUCAUACGGGACUUUAACAACAUAGCAAAUCAAGGGUUACAUGAUGGUGAUACAGUCAAUGACUUUUGUGAUGUCAUGACGAGGAUUGAGGAUGCGAUAAUCGCAACCACUACAUACCAAGGUAGUAUGCACUACAUACCAAAUUUAUUAGUUGAUGAUUAGCUCGUUUUGAACUUUUGGUUGUAAAUAAUAAAUUUGUUUUGGAUUAUGCUAACAUUCAGUUUCAUGUAAUUGAAUGAUUUUGUUUUUAAUUUUUUUUUUUUU